UGGGGAAUAUUGCACAAUGGAGGGAACUCUGAUGCAGCGACGCCGCGUGAACGAAGAAGGCUUUCGAGUCGUAAAGUUCUUUUAUAUGGGAAGAUAAUGACGGUACCAUAAGAAAAAGCCCCGGCUAACUACGUGCCAGCAGCCGCGGUAAUACGUAGGGGGCUAGCGUUGUCCGGAAUCACUGGGCGUAAAGGGUUCGCAGGCGGAAAUGCAAGUCAGGUGUAAAAGGCAGUAGCUUAACUACUGUAAGCAUUUGAAACUGCAUAUCUUGAGAAGAGUAGAGGUAAGUGGAAUUUUUAGUGUAGCGGUGAAAUACGUAUAUAUUAAAAAGAAUACCGGUGGCGAAGGCGACUUACUGGGCUCAUUCUGACGCUGAGGAACGAAAGCGUGGGUAGCAAACAGG
rnacentral:rRNA from 1 species